rnacentral:rRNA from 1 species
GCUCAGGAUGAACGCUAGCGGGAGGCCUAACACAUGCAAGUCGAACGGGAUUGAGAGCUUGCUCUCAUGAGAGUGGCGCACGUGUGAGUAACGCGUAUGCAACCUACCUUUAACUGAGGGAUAGCCCAUAGAAAUGUGGAUUAAUACCUCAUAGUUCUUUUGGCCCGCAUGGGCUGAUAGAUAAAGCUCCGGCGGUUAAAGAUGGGCAUGCGUGACAUUAGCUAGUUGGUAAGGUAACGGCUUACCAAGGCUACGAUGUCUAGGGGUUCUGAGAGGAUGAUCCCCCACACUGGUACUGAGACACGGACCAGACUCCUACGGGAGGCAGCAGUGAGGAAUAUUGGUCAAUGGGCGCAAGCCUGAACCAGCCAUCCCGCGUGAAGGAUGAAGGUCCUAUGGAUUGUAAACUUCUUUUAUACACCAAGAAAAACACCCACGUGUGGGUGCCCGACGGUAGUGUAUGAAUAAGCAUCGGCUAACUCCGUGCCAGCAGCCGCGGUAAUACGGAGGAUGCAAGCGUUAUCCGGAUUCAUUGGGUUUAAAGGGUGCGUAGGCGGCUUUUUAAGUCAGUGGUGAAAUCUUGCCGCUCAACGGUAAAAUUGCCAUUGAUACUGAAAAGCUUGAGUACAUUUGAGGUAAGCGGAAUGUGUAGUGUAGCGGUGAAAUGCUUAGAUAUUACACAGAACACCGAUUGCGAAGGCAGCUUACUAAACUGUAACUGACGCUGAUGCACGAAAGCGUGGGGAGCGAACAGGAUUAGAUACCCUGGUAGUCCACGCCGUAAACGAUGUUCACUCGCUGUGUGCGAUACACAGCAAGCGGCCAAGC